ACAUGCAAGUCGAGCGAGAACCGGGACUUCGGUCCCGGGGACAGCGGCGAACGGGUGAGUAACACGUGGAUAACCUGCCCUCGGCACCGGAAUAGCCCGGGGAAACUCGGAUUAAUGCCGGAUAGCCCCACAUCCCUGCGGGGAACGUGGGAAAAGGUAGCUUCGGCCUCUGGCCGAGGAUGGGUCCGCGGUGGAUUAGCUUGUUGGCGGGGUAACGGCCCACCAAGGCGACGAUCCAUAGCUGGUCUGAGAGGACGAUCAGCCACACUGGGACUGAGACACGGCCCAGACUCCUACGGGAGGCAGCAGUGGGGAAUCUUGCGCAAUGGGCGAAAGCCUGACGCAGCGACGCCGCGUGCGGGAAGAAGGCCUUCGGGUUGUAAACCGCUUUCAGGAGGGACGAAGCCACUCGGGUGAAUAGCCCAGAGGGUGACGGUACCUCCAGAAGAAGCCCCGGCUAACUACGUGCCAGCAGCCGCGGUAAUACGUAGGGGGCAAGCGUUGUCCGGAUUCAUUGGGCGUAAAGAGCGUGUAGGCGGCCAGGUAGGUCGGUUGUGAAAACUGGAGGCUCAACCUUCAGAGGUCGAUCGAAACCAUCUGGCUAGAGUCCGGGAGAGGAGAGUGGAAUUCCUGGUGUAGCGGUGAAAUGCGCAGAUAUCAGGAAGAACACCCGUGGCGAAAGCGGCUCUCUGGAACGGUACUGACGCUGAGACGCG
rnacentral:rRNA from 1 species